rnacentral:rRNA from 1 species
GACGAACGCUGGCGGCGUGCUUAACACAUGCAAGUCGAACGGAAAGGCCCCAGCUUGCUGGGGUUCUCGAGUGGCGAACGGGUGAGUAACACGUGGGUGAUCUGCCCUGCACUCUGGGAUAAGCCUGGGAAACUGGGUCUAAUACCGGCUAGGACCGUGCUUUAGUGUGUGCGGUGGAAAGUUUUUCGGUGCAGGAUGAGCUCGCGGCCUAUCAGCUUGUUGGGGGGGUAAUGGCCUACCAAGGCGGCGACGGGUAGCCGGCCUGAGAGGGUGUACGGCCACAUUGGGACUGAGACACGGCCCAGACUCCUACGGGGGGCAGCAGGGGGGAAUAUUGCACAAUGAGCGCAAGCCUGAUGCAGCGGCGCCGCGUGGGGGAUGACGGCCUUCGGGUUGUAAACCCCUUUCGGCAGGGACGAAGCUUUUGUGACGGUACCUGCAUAAGAAGUACCGGCUAACUACGUG